rnacentral:rRNA from 1 species
AACGGGUGAGUAACGCGUGGGUAACGUACCCUGAUCCUGGGAAUAGGCCUCGGAAACGAGGGCUAAUACCGAAUGUGGCGAACGACCGGUUGGUCGCUCGCUAAAGGUGGCCUCUUCUAUGCUGCCGGGUUGGGAUCGGCCCGCGUCCCAUUAGCUAGUUGGUGAGGUAACGGCUCACCAAGGCCACGAUGGGUAGCCGGCCUGAGAGGGUGUACGGCCACACUGGCACUGAGACAAGGGCCAGUCCCCUAUGGGAGGCGCAGGCGGGAAUAGUUCACAAUGGGCGAAAGCCUGAUGACGCGACGCCGCGUGAGCGAAGAAGACCUUCGGGUUGUAAAGCUCUGUCAGGAGGGAAGAAGGCUCUACGGGUUAAUAGCCCGUGGAAUUGACGGUACCUCCAGAGGAAGCCCCGGCUAAAUACGUGCCAGCAGCCGCGGUAAUACGUAUGGGGCAAGCGUUGUCCGGAUUUACUGGGCGUAAAGGGCGCGUAGGCGGUUUGUUAAGUCGAAGGUGAAAUCCUCGGGCUCAACUCGAGAAUUGCCUUCGAUACUGGCAAACUAGAGUGGCGGAGAGGAAAGCGGAACUCUUGGUGUAACGGUGGAAUGUGUAGAUAUCAAGAGGAACACCGGUGGCGAAGGCGGCUUUCUGGACGCACACUGACGCUCAGGCGCGAAAGCGUGGGUAGCAAACCAGGAUUAGAUACCCUGGUAGUCCACGCCAUAAACGAUGGGUACUACGUGUCGGGGGUAUCGACCCCUCCGGUGCCGCAGUUAACGCACUAAGUACCCCGCCUGGGGAUUAUGGUCGCAAGGCUGAAACUCAAAGGAAUUGACGGGGCCCCGCACAAGCGGUGGAGCAUGUGGUUUAAUUCGACGCAACGCGAAGAACCUUACCUGGGCUUGACAUGCUUGGGACAGCGCUGGAAACAGCGUCUCUCCUUCGGGAGCCCUUGCACAGGUGCUGCAUGGCUGUCGUCAGCUCGUGUCGUGAGAUGUUGGGUUAAGUCCCGCAACGAGCGCAACCCUCGUUACUAGUUGCCAUCAGUUCGGCUGGGCACUCUAGUGAGACUGCCGGUGAUAAACCGGCGCCCGGUGACCAUGAUGUCAAGUCAUCAUGGCCCUUACGCCCAGGGCUACACACGUGCUACAAUGGUCGGCACAAAGGGUCGCUAAGCCGCGAGGUGGAGCUAAUCCCAAAAAGCCGGCCUCAGUUCGGAU